AUUCACUAGAUUUGUAGAAUGAAGUUAUUCCUUCCCUAUACUUUCCACUACAACAAUUCAGCCAAAAAGAUGGCUUUCAUACUAAGCAUAAGAAGGAACUUCACUGUAAUUAUGAUAUUCUAACCAAGAAUAUAUGCAUAUCUAGGCAAUAACCAAAGUGAAUAGAAUAAAAUUUAAUUCCUGAUAGAUUAAAUAGGCAAUAGCAAGGAAUGCUAACGCUCCUCAUAGCGUUCUUGUUGGAAGAAUCAUCUAGGAGGCAUUGGGAUUUCUGGUGCUUUUUAAGCAAUGAGAGAUAUCAGUCCACUGAAUGAGGAAGAGAAUAACGUUUAGUUUCGGACUAAAAGUUCAUCUGGACUACGGAAAACACGUUUGCCUCAAUCAGUGAAGAAGGUAUGCUGAGAGCUGAAAGAAAAGGAAAGCAGCAACAGUGAGAGCUCAGAAAUUCCCAGACUGUUUUGAUGAUAAGGUCCAAGAACUUGCCAUGUGAUCCAUCACUACUAGACUCCCACAACUGCAUUAGAUUUGUUCAGGAUUUUCAUAUAAUUUUCAUAACUGGCUAAGGUAGGUCAUACUAACAUAAAGUCCUAGCAUGUAUAAUAUUGAAUUUGUUCUUUACCAAUAUCUUAUGGGAUCUAAACCUGCUACUAUAUCCUUCUUUAUAUUAUUACAGUGUUGAAGAACACAUUUCCAUUAGACAUUAUGUUUCUCAUGUUUGAAGAACAUUUUCUCUUGUUCAAUAUUUAGAAGUAGCAUGACAUGGUAGAAAAGCCUCUAGACUGAUUAUUAAGAGGCCUGGUUUUUCAUCCUGUUAUGUCUUGACUCAUUUUUUAUGAUACUUUUAUAUUAUUUAAGUUGCUUUUGUUAUAAGGAACAGAAGCUCACCCUAGCUAAUGUAGGAAAAAAAUAAUUUCUUGGAGGAUAUAAGAAGAUACAAGGAUAGCUUAUUUAAAAAGAAACAAGAAAAACUUUAAAAAAUAAAACUCAGGGCAGCUUUUGGAAUCCUGGUAGCAACAACAAAGAACUCAUCAGGUACUGCUGAUGGGAUAAAACAGGUCCAAACCCUCUCAGUCUUCUUUUUCUUUCUUGUUUACUCCUUGCUCUGUCACAAAUUUCAGAUAAAACAUAUCUUAUUGAUCUAAAUUGAAGAACAUGAAGGGAAGCAAAUCCUCUUGAUUGAUUUCCUAACUGGACUGGACUUAAUGGGAGAAGACCACUUACCUCAAAACAAAAUUCAAGUGUGUUAAUGGGAAAAGAAAAAAAAAGAUAUUGGCAAAAUAACAAAAUGCAAAAGGAUGUGGCAAAAAUAACAAGUUGUUCACUCAACCUUUAUGCUUCCAAAGACGUCACCCCAUAUUGCUAUGGUUUGUUUGAUAGGAAAUAUUAGAAAAGAACCAUAAUAAUUCAACUUGAUAAUUAUAUGUGUUUAAAUGGGAGCCACUUUCUAGCAGUUCUUUCACUGCUUUGGACCAUUUCCUUAUUCUCCUAUAGUAGGCUAUAGAUGUAGCUUUCAAACUGACAACAUGGCAUCUAGUUUUAUUCAUCAUCCUCCUAACUGCUCAUCCAUAACUUUUAGAGUUAUUCUAAAAUAUAAUUUUGUGUCUUGGAAGCUUUCAGUGGCUUCAGCAUUAUCUAUAGAUAAACGUAAUACUGUUCCGUCGACAUGUUUGGCAGAAUUAGAUGCCCAUUCUACUUAGCUAUUACAGCAUUCUGUCUAUAACUUCUUUACAGUUCUCAAAUCACUGAAUAAUUAUUGUAGGACAGAGAAAACGUCUGUUUAAAACAAAAAUAUUUCAGAUAAUUGUAUAUAAUUCUGGCUUUCUUGCUGCUGCUGUUUUCUAAGACAAUUCAUAUCUGCUUUAAAAAAAAAUUGUAUAGUUCUAGCCAGGCACUGUGGCUCACACCUGUAAUCCCAGCAGUUUAGAAGGCAGAGGAAGAGCUCAGGUGUUCAAAUCCAG
ensembl:lncRNA NOVA1-DT NOVA1 divergent transcript